AAGAAUAUUUAAAAUUAAUAUUUUGAUAUUUAAGACUUAAGAUCAACUUAUUGAUUGUAGUUGUGAAAUAGGCCUGGGUGACUAUUUACACACGUCUCCGCAAAUUUGUAAGACCAUAUAUGGGGAUUGACGCUUGCCCAAUGCGUAAGACCAUGUAUGGGGAUUGACGCUUGCCCAGUGCUGGAAGGUUAAGAAAGUUGGUGACCUAAUGAUAGGAGAGUUAGCGAUCGAAGCCCUAGUGAACGGCGGGCGGCCAUAAUUAUAACGGUCUUAAGGUAGUGAAAUUCCUAGUAGGGUAAGUUCCGACUUGCAUGAAAGGCAUAACGAUCUGGCCACUCUCUU
rnacentral:ncRNA from 1 species